rnacentral:rRNA from 1 species
UACGAAGGGGGCUAGCGUUGCUCGGAAUCACUGGGCGUAAAGCGCUCGUAGGCGGAUUGCUAAGUCAGGGGUGAAAUCCUGGAGCUCAACUCCAGAACUGCCUUUGAUACUGGCGAUCUCGAGUCCGGGAGAGGUGAGUGGAACUGCGAGUGUAGAGGUGAAAUUCGUAGAUAUUCGCAAGAACACCAGUGGCGAAGGCGGCUCACUGGCCCGGUACUGACGCUGAGGUGCGAAAGCGUGGGGAGCGAACAGG